rnacentral:rRNA from 1 species
AACGAACGCUGGUGGCGUGCUUAACACAUGCAAGUCGAACGAGAAAAUUUUCUUCGGGAAAUUAGUAAAGUGGCGCAAGGGUGAGUAACACGUGAAUAAUCUGCCCUCGAGAUCGGGAUAACAUGGUGAAAACUAUGCUAAUACCGGAUAAGACCACAUUUCGCAGGAAAUGCGGUAAAAGGAGUCUCAAUCUUCACUCGAGGAUGAGUUCGCGCAACAUUAGCUUGUUGGUGGGAUAAAAGCUCACCAAGGCUACGAUGUUUAGCCGGCCUGAGAGGGUGAACGGCCACACUGGAACUGAGACACGGCCCAGACUCCUACGGGAGGCAGCAGUGGGGAAUAUUGGACAAUGGGCGCAAGCCUGAUCCAGCAAUACCGCGUGUGUGACG